rnacentral:rRNA from 1 species
GACGAACGCCGGCGGCGUGCCUAAUACAUGCAAGUCGAGCGGACAGAAGGGAGCUUGCUCCCGGAAGUUAGCGGCGGACGGGUGAGUAACACGUGGGCAACCUACCCUGUAGAUCGGGAUAACAUCGAGAAAUCGGUGCUAAUACCGGAUAAUCAUUUGAAGUGCAUGCUUCGAAUGUAAAAGAUGGCUCCGGCUAUCACUACGGGAUGGGCCCGCGGCGCAUUAGCUAGUUGGUAAGGUAAUGGCUUACCAAGGCAACGAUGCGUAGCCGACCUGAGAGGGUGAUCGGCCACACUGGGACUGAAACACGGCCCAGACUCCUGCGGGAGGCAGCAGUAGGGAAGCUUCCGCAAUGGACGAAAGUCUGACGGAGCAACGCCGCGUGAGUGAUGAAGGUUUUCGGAUCGUAAAGCUCUGUUGUUAGGGAAGAACAAGUGCCGUUUGAAUAAGGCGGCACCUUGACGGUACCUAACCAGAAAGCCACGGCUAACUACGUGCCAGCCGCCGCAGUAACAC